AAUGUGCGUUUUUUGCUUACUUAUAUCUAAAAAACAAAUUAACAUUUAACAAUAAAUUUACAUUUAAACCAAAGUUUAAUUCAUUGGCUAUCCGUGCUAUAUAAAUUUAAAAAAAUCCGUGCACGCAUUUAAGAGGAAUAAGCAGUGAAAAGGGGAUACUAAAACGAACCCAACCCGGACUAUGUAACAAUGUCCUAAGUUCUUCAAUAAGACAUUUUGUACAAGGGUGUCAUGCUGUUGAUCAGAAACGAAAAAGUUACUUUGCGGGUCGCCAUUUGCAAUGUUUGGAUGCUAUAAUCGCAGCUCGGAUGGUUUUCUCUUCGUAGUUACCUGCGGUGUUAAUUUCGUGUGGUUAAAUAUAUAACUCAGUUCACAGAUCCGUUCAAAGUUAUUCUGCUUCAUGUUAAAUGGCUUCGACUACAGCACAUAUUCCCUUAACAAAUAAAAACUUAUAAAACCGACGACAUAUUGCACAAAAGGAAAAAAACAACAAUGUCAAAUGAUUCGUUAGUGCUUCAAAAUGUGUGAAGAUAUCUCCACGACACAAAUAUACCUGCCACCGCUCUCCGUACACAAAUUCUGGUUUCAUUGGUAAUUUAGUUACCUUUUGCGGAUUCUUAGAUCAACGACUGUUCCACUGGAAUAAUGCGUAUAAAUUUUGAAAAACUAUUUUCUUGCAAUAAACGAUGAAAAUUACCGUGCGAAAUACGAAUCGUGCCAUAGUGUCCUUUUCCUCUUGUAUUUCGAAUAAGUAAAGCUGCUACGAUUUUUCAGGAAUCAAUGGGAAUUUAUGAGACCUUAAAACACAGCCUUGGCAAAAAUUGCAAUAGAAAUAUAUCAAUUUCAAAUAUAUAAAUAAUGUAUUUAGAGGCGUCCACGAAAUAAAAUUGUAAGCCGAAAAUGCUAAUUUGCGAACUAUUUUCAACGAAUAGCCAGUAUAAUGGCAAAAGAAAACAAAUGUAGUACCAAAAGUAAGCUUGCGAAACUAUAUAUAGUAUCUAAAUCAGUAACCAUUCGACAAGGCAUAUAAUACAAAGUAUUUAUUAAUUGAUAAACAAUAUUACAAUAACGUAACACUACUUCGAACAUUGCUGGAAUAUUGAAAUGUAAACCGCAUCGAGUUUGCAUCACUUAUGGUAUGUUAGCAACAGCUACAUAUGUAUGUCACUUAUAUGCAUAUACAUAUACAUAUGUAUGUAUGUAUAUUUAUUGCAGCACUAAAAGUGAGAAGAACAAAAGACAAUUAUUUGUUAAUUUGCAUAUUUCGAGAUAUGCAUUGGAAAGUAAAUCGUAAAUUUUUGUUAAUAAAGUGAAAAUGUAAACAUAUGUGCUAUUUGACACUAUUCGCUUGAAUUUAGAAGAGAAACUUGAUAAAAUCAAUUUCUGAGCUAUAUAAAUUACUUUUAAUCAGGUUUAUUACAUUGAAUAUUAUGGCAGUUUGCUACUAAUUGAAAAUUUAUUCUUAUGAUCGAUCCAGCCUAAGUCGGAGCUACUGAUUACUAUCAAGGCAAUAGUUUUUAUUGUAGGUGCGUACGUCAUCAUGCGAUAUCCUUGAUGCGCUCUUGCAUUUUUUUUUUUUUUUGUAUACGUGUUGGCAUUGGUGAUGACAAUCAUGAUUAUGUUGAUAAUAUGCAAAUGCAUAAGAUAACCCAUCGCACACAACAGACAACAUCAUCUAUCUCUGUUAAGUUUGCCAGUUUAACAGCUAUGUAUGUAAGUUAAUGGUUGCCACCAAAUAAUUAAUUAAUCGCUCUUUUGAAUUGUAAAG